CCCGCGCUCGUAGGCCCGCCUCUGCCGUUGGCCCCGCCUUCUUUGCCGACCCUUGGGGUUUCUCUAUUCCGAGUGCGGAGGUGUGGACGUGCAGAAGCCGGAGGGCUCUGGGUCCAGCCGUCCGGCCUCUGGAAAAUGAUCUCCCCAUCAGCGAAGGGGAAGUAAUUUUGGAACUGAGCGCCUUGCUACCUGACCCAACGAAUCGUGCCAUUUUACCAGUGGCUCGCAUCCCUUGUGGACUUCUGAGAUCUCCCUCUGAGGAUUCCCCCCAGUUUAUAGGUCACCAGAAUGCAAGAAGCCACUGCAGGGUGUGAAGGACAGACUUCAAACACUACUUCAAAUACUAUGCAGCAAACAGAUGACUUGUUAGACUACAUCCCCAGGCAGGGGUGCUGGAUAUAUGAGAAGGAGGGGUGUGUGCGUAUUAUAUGAUGCUGAGUACAGUGGUACCAGUCCUUCUGGUUCUGCUUGUCUAGGGAGGUGACUUCAGAUCUUUCAGUACCAAGACAUCUGCAAGACAAACAAAUCCUUCUCUUGCUAAUAUUGACUGCCUCUCAUAGCAUAACUGUUUCUUUUCCUGCCUCCCCAAGGAUCUUUUAUUGGAUGUUAAUUCUGAAUUACAGUAUGAAAGAAUUCAAGGGUGCCAGACAAAGAUUAUGGUCAGGAAUGCCAAAUGUACUUCCACACUGGGCCCUCCUCGGUGGUACUUGUGUAGCUGCUCAUGUUUGAGUUCCUUGUGACAACAGUAGUUGAAAAGCGCAUAAGCUGCCAGCACCAUACAAAUCCCAGCAAUGUCCCCUGUUUAUUAAUGGGGGGACGGGGGGACAUGAAAUGCUCCAGCAGUGCUCUUAGGGGUGAAAUUCCACAUCAGUGUCCAGAUUGGCAUCUCUCUUAGUUUCACAUCCUUGAGAUUCUUGUCCUUCACCAGUUAAAAAAAAAAAAAAAAGGAAUCUGAGCAAGGGUUAGCAGGGACCUCUGUAACACAGCCUUUCACAGGCUGUGAUAAGAAUGUUGGCCAGGACUGAGAUCUCAUCUGAAGACUCAGGUGGGGAAGGAUACUUUUCCUCACUCACUUAUUUGGUCUCACACUGGAUUGGGCUCUUCAAGAACUGUUGAACUCAGGGCCUCAGGACCUCACUGUUGUCUGGAGGCUACUCUCAGUGGGCUUCUCUAACUCUUGCAUGCAAUUUGCUCCAUCAAAACCAAUAAGGGAAAGAGUCUGAUAGUAAGAUAGAAGUCAAAGCCUUAGUAACCUGACCAUGGAAGUGACAUCCCCUCAAUAUUUUCAUAUUUUGCUGGUUAGAACAAGUUACUCAAGGGGAGGCAAUUAUGUGAGGUUAUAAGUACUAGAGAUAGGAUCAUUGGGGAAAAUCUUCAAAGCUACCUGCCAUACUGUACCUUCUUCUGGAUUUCCAGACUCCGGUGCUUGGCCAUUUGUUUCCCCCAACUUCUCUCCUUCUCUUCUCCUGGUCCUGGAAAGGCAUUCUCCCUACAAUACCUUUCUGAAGUAGGCAUCACCCUCUUUUUAAAGAUUUAUUUAUUUAUUUAUUUAUUUAUUUAUUUAUUUAUUCAUGAGACACAGAGAGAGGCAGAGAUGCAGGCAGAGGGAGAAGCAGGCUCCAUGCAGGGAGCCCGACAUGGGACUCGAUCCUGGGACCCUAGGAUCACACCCUGAGAUGAAGGCAGAUGCUCAACCACUGAGCCACCCAGGUGUCCCAGCAUCACCGCCUUUUUUCUGUGGAACCACAAUGGCAAAAUCCCUCCAGGGGAAUGCCGAGGAUUUCAGUAAACAUAUCUGUUUGGCAUUUUUAGAAUCUUAUCUCUCAAAGAGUCAUAUAAUCAUGUACAAGUUUAAAUACACAGAAUGAAUAGCAGAGUAAGAAAACAGAGGAGCAAGGAGAGGCAUCUCAGAGGCAAGCCACAGAGGUCUACGUGAGAAGUCAGGGUUGUUGAAGAUGGUGGCUUGGUUUCCCCAGGGCAAUCAGAGAAAUAAAGGAUCCAAAGGGAAGAGAGCUAGAGAAUCACCAUGAAAACAACUACCUUUAAGAUGCGACUCUGAGUGGGAAAUAUCAGAAAGGGAGACAGAACAUGAGAGACUCCUAACUCUGGG